CAGACGUUCCUCCCAGUACCCUUGAAGAAUCCCAUAAGGUGUUGCUCAGGUAUGUCCGCCUAGGUCACCUUGAUGAGUUCCAGACACUGCGGCUGGAGGAGAGUUGCACCAUCACUGAUGAGAAUGAUCAGGUCACUGGAUACAAAACAAAGAGGAACUGCCACCUGAUUGAAAAAUUGAAAAGGGGUAUUUCAUUGGCUCCUGCUCUGGUCACUCCCUAAGCAAUCCCGAAGAUUGCUCUGGAAGAAAAAGACGCCUUGGGAGUGAGUAGGGCAGCCGUGAGACAUCUGCAGGCUGGGCCGGGAAUCCCUAUGGAACAGGUACCCUGCAUCUUGUCUUCUAAAUCUUUCUACACAACUGUGUUAGUUACUCAAAUUCUUACCUCCAAUCAAAACUCCAGGAAAGAAAAUAAACUUUGGGUGCAAAUUUAGAAAAUUGUGUGUGGAUUUCUAUGAUGCAUUCUCUGUUUUUACAACAUGAGGAUAGGUGAAAGCGAAGAAUCUGAACAUUGGUUGUUACUUAAUAAGUGAUGCUGAGUUAGAUAAGAAUCAGAGGUAGAGCCUUCUCAUGAAACCUAUGAAAACCCGAUUCACAAUCUAUGAACACAGAAAUCCCUUACAUGGUAUUUACAGAUAAAAUACGACUUUUGUUUAUGAAAUCAGGGUGUAUGUGCCCCACAGAAAUACGCUUAUCAGUUACUUAUAGCACUUUUCAUAUUUCAAUUGUGUCCAUAUAAUUAUCCCAUUGGGUGCACAACAAAAUGAAUUUUCAAGGCUAUAAAACUGUGCUUUCUUUAAUUUGGUCUCCCCAGUGAAAAAUGAGUGAGUGGCACUCAGUGGAUGCACUGUAUAUAUUUUUUUAAUGAAAAAAAGAAUGAAUUUGAAUUCUCUCUCCAACGUAUUUUCCUUGUGUUUGAAUUAACACAGAUCAACUUUUGUCACAGCUUUCCAUAAAGGAUAUAAUUUUUAUGACCCGAAUUUACCACAAGAGUCCAUUGAAUAAUGUCUGGCGGGACCAUAAAAUUGGCUAUCUUCUGUUUGUGAGGAAAAACCUCAUGGUGAACCUAGACCCCAGGGGGGUCCAACAUUACUGCUACAUGACCUGGGAGGAGAUGGGGGUCCUCCUGGACAGGGCAGCCUAGGAACAGGAGGAGGUCACCCCGUGGAUUAAGACCAUCACAAAGGGCUUUCUGUUCAAGUGGUGGGGUCAUUUACUGGACGUCUCCCCAUUUGUGGAGCCUGACAAAAUUCACAAGCGAGAAGCUGUGGGAGGGGACUGUCCGAAGUAAGGGGUCACCCAACCCCAUGAUCUCAGCUCCUAUUUCAGAUUAAAACAGCACACAUGCUGAUGAAGGUGCACUACAGAAAUCUAGUCAUAAAAUUUCUUUAAUCACUUAGAUUUAGCUUAAGAAUCUCCUUCACAAUUAUACUCGAGAGCUCCCUUGUUUUCAUCCAUCUCUUAAAAUGCUUCAGCUGCUUUCUAUAGAAAACGUCAUUUUUGUCCUAAAACUUUCCCUCUAGUGGCUUCACCAUUCCCCAUUAGCUGGGUGCAGACACGAGCUCACACAGGUACGGCAGCUCUUCACGUCGCCUCUCUACUGGGUCCUUGAUCACGUGUCCUUGGAGAAUUUCAUCCUUUAGGAAGAUAUGUUGCAUGAUGAUGACAUAUAAGAAAAAAAAUUAAAUGUCUGUUAGUAUUAACUGAGGAAAUUAAUCUCAUCAAAAUACUGACUUAGACUAGAAAUAAAUGCUUGCUAGCAUAUAAACAUAUAAUCAUUUUAAAAAUAAAAUUGUUUAAUUUCCUUAAAGAGGUGAAUCUUUUUAUUGAAAUGUUAUCAUAGUUACAUAUUAACCUGUUUUUACUGCCCAUUUCACAAGAUCUAUACUCAUAAUCUUCAUUAUCAAAAAUGUAUUAAAAUGCAAAAACUUGAAUAAUAAGAAAUCUUGAAAAAGAGGUAUUGUAAUUCACUGAUUUUCUAAGUAAAUCCUAAUGAGGAAACCACUUUUACUAAGUGCUUGUUAAAUUCUUUGCCAUGUAUAAAUAUAUUUGAUCAUUUUCCUGAAAAUCAAUAAAAAUCAGAUGGAAAUUGCUUACUCCUUCUUUGAGGAUUCCCUGGUCUUUGGUCUUGGGGUCAUCAUUCAUGAAACGAAUCCACAGGGUAGAGUUUCAAGAUGGAGUUGACCGGGUUGAGUGGAUGAAUUCCAGCACUGGAAUUUCAGGAUCUCUUCUUCUCUGUUCUUUCCCUUGUUCUGCUGUAGUGUCUGGGCAAAAAAACUUUAUCCUGCUGGAAUUCACCGGAAGAACCUAGAAGUGUUUACUGGCCCAUCAUUUCUAAUAUUUCCACGCUGAUCCCAAACCUUAGUUUUUAUACCAACAACCUCCCUACACAUCUGUUGAGAAGUACCAAUUUAACAUGUCUUUCACCCUUGUGGGGAAAAGCUCUUUUUCAAAGGGACAUUAAUAAUGUUUAGAGUUUCAAAGACCAUGGUUAGUACGUUUUAGCUUCCAGCACUGUGCACAAAGCUAUUUCACACUGGUAGAAACGGGGUCAACUUUGGAUCAUUUUACUUACUGACAUGACCACAAAUGGAAGGAAACUAGAGAAGCAUAAUGGCAUGCAAAAAAAAAAAAAAAAAAUAGAGUUUCUGGUUGUGAAUGGCUUCCUCUCACACUAAACUUUAGAAAUGACAGAACAGACAGUACAAAUAAAAUCAAAUACAUCAGCAUUCUUGCAAAUGAAAGGAAUUCUCAGAGAAAAGCAAAAGAAUGAAGGAGAGGCAUCUUUGUAAAAUAUAGCUGGUACUUUUCCAACAAUAAAGACAUUCUGAAAUUGGAAGAGCCACCUAGUAUCCAGCAGGAGGAGGAGGAAAAAACCUGAAGAAAUUUACAACGAAAUUUCAGAACCUCAAUUAGAAAAGACAAAAUCCUAAGAGGAUUAAAAAACAGAAAGAUAUAAAAAC
ensembl:lncRNA